UUUAGCUCGAUCGGUUGAGCGUAAGACUAGUAAGCCAGAGAUCCUGGGUUUGAUCCCUAGCAGAGGCAGUGAUUUAAAUAUAAUUAAUCAUGCGCUGUGUUACACAUCUGUGAUGUCAAUACACUUGUCUGUGAUGAAAACGUUCUCUCUGAAUUAUGCCUGAAUCUCUGUUUAACCUAUACUCAAAAAUUUCAUAUAGAUUGUGGUGUACAUGACAGAUUCAGAUGUGAAACAUAUUAUGCUACUUUUAUAUUGGUCAACUGGCAUGGUGUUAUUCUUAAUUUAUGUAUGUAUGAAAAAUAUUCAACAUGAGAAAAUGGAAAACAUGGCAAAUGUUUUAAAGUCUAACUUGAAAUAUUUUCAUUUACAGGGCAUUGGUGAAUGUAUUCCUUUCCGGUAUAAAGCAAUGAUUUUUUUUUUAAUUUUAGGUUACCACAAAGGAAGCCAAUGUUUGAUUUGUAGGUUAGAAUACAAAUACUGAAUUCAAACACUCAGUUUUUGCAGUGACUAUGUCAAUAUCUUGUGAUCCAGCACAAGUGACAUGGUCUGUAUAUUGUACGAUGAAGAAAUGGGGUGUAUUUUCUGGAUUUUGUAUUGCAUGUAUCUCCUUUGAAUCACUGAUGCCGACACACACUACCUAUGAGAACCAUGAAAUCUGUAUUAUAUAAUACAUUUACACACACUACCUAUGAGAACCAUGAAAGCUGUAUUAUAUAAUACAUUUACACACACUACCUAUGAGAACCAUGAAAGCUGUAUUAUAUAAUACAUUUACACACACUACCUAUGAGAACCAUGAAAGCUGUAUUAUAUAAUACAUUUACACACACUACCUAUGAGAACCAUGAAAGCUGUAUUAUGAUGCAUAUAAAUCAUGGUCUAAGAUAACUGUUAUCAUUAAACAUUGUACGGUAAUAAUGUUUUGAGCAGUUGAAAAAUACAAAAUGGAAUUAAGAUAAAUCAUAAUCCAAGAUAACUAUACUUCAUAACAUGAUGGCAUGAUUAAGACGAUCUGACAGUUGGAGAGAAAAUGAAUUUGGAAAUUAUGUGGAUUAUGUAACAGGUUUACAGUAAAUCUGAGACGGAAGUGAAUGUACCAGUUGUGUGUGCCAUAUACUUAAUGAACAUAUUUAUAACCUUUUGGUGUACGUGCUUCUGAAUCAGUACUUAAUCAUUUUCAUGAAUUAGCUUUUUGACAUUUAUUGAAUAAUCUACAUAUGUAUUUUCUUUAUGAACAAUAAUGAGAUGAAUCAUUCAUUUACCAUGUCAGAUUUGAAAACAUACUUAAUGGUAAAUAUUCAAAUUUAAUGUGUCCCCGGAAGUAUUGUUUUGAACAAAUUUGAAAAAGUGAUGGUAUGACCGUUUUAACUUUAAAGCUAAGAUGUUUUCCCAUAUAC